AAAGCUUUAAGUUAAUAAAACUAUUAACCUUCAAAGUUAAAAUUACAGGAAUAUUUGUAAGCUUUA
rnacentral:tRNA from 1 species